rnacentral:tRNA from 1 species
UCCCAUGGCGUAGUGGUCACUGCGCUCGCCUUGCACGCGGGAGACCCGGGUUCGAUUCCCGGCGGGA